GCAGAUGUAGCUUAAUGGUAGAGCACCUACCUGGCACACAGGAGGCUUGGGAUUCAAUCCCAGUACUGCA
rnacentral:tRNA from 1 species